rnacentral:lncRNA from 1 species
CGACCCCUCACCGGGCCUAGCCCUGGUUUUGUGGGAUGACCAACUUCGCUGCCACCCAGCCCCAGAUUCAGGGCUUUGAGUUGGCCCACCCCAACAGCUACCCAUCUAUGAGCUAUUGGAACACUUGAAGAGGCCAGUCUUGUGGAUCCACAGCUGCAGGACCUCCAUGACAAGGACAACAGCAGGAUAUCUGAGAUGAGUCUCAGUGAGGGUUCAGUGUUGAUGGUUUAGCAGAAGCCGGAGGCCUUGAACCAGACCAAUGACUCAUUGCAAUGAACAUUUGCAAGUAAAGCUGUUUGGGCAUAUGCUCGUGAGCCUUAACUGAACCAGACCCCCUGUCCAGAGGUGACUCUCCAUGGAUGGCCUCUGCCAGUUUGGAACAUAUCUGGCAAACAUGAUCCGCUGGUUCAACACAAUUCUGAGGUCUCUGUACCGGUCUCGAUUUUCAUCAGCUGUGUGGAAGUUCUGACUCGACUGGAAACGUAACCCACAUUCCACAUUCUGGGUAAAUUGCCUCUUCCCUUUCCAUGCCUCUUAACUUUAUGUCGUUCUACCCUGUUUAAUUUUUUUUUCUCCCAUCAGCAAUGCAGAAGUUUGAAAAAAUCCAUCCCUCAAGCAUUGCCGACUUCCUGGCUUGUUCAUCGAUUAUAGUUGACCCUCCGGGGUUUCAAGUGAAACAGCACAUUGAGGUGUCUUGUGAUCCAAAGUUGUUAGAAGUCCCCCGCCCCAAUUGCCCCAGUUUACAAAGAAUUGGGCAUUUCCCCAAAUUCUAAACCAUUUGCUUUUGUUUGCCUAGUUUAAUCCACAGCAUGAGGCCUGUCAGAUACAAUGAAACACAAUUCUGACCACAGUAACACCAUGCUAAGAUGAGCAGAAUCCUGGAGAAACAGGCCAACAAAAGCUACAGCCAGAGCCAACAGGUCCAAAUGGAUGAGUGAAGCAGAAAUGGUGGCCUCCUGACAAGAUGUGGACUGCAAACCACCUUUUGACACAA